rnacentral:rRNA from 1 species
GGGGGGGGGGGGGGGGGGGGGGGGGGGGGGGGGGGGGGGGGGGGGGGGCGCGGGCGGGGGGGACGCGCGUGGGGAGGGGGGGGGUGAGACGUGAGGGACCUGCCCGUGACUGUGGGGUAAGUUCAGGGAACGGGGGGUGAGACCGGAUAGGAGCGCCUGCUGCAUGGUGGGGGGUGGAAAGUUUCGGCGGUUGGGGAUGGACUCGCGGCUUAUCAGCUUGUUGGUGGGGUAAUGGCUUACCAAGGCUUUGACGGGUAGCCGGCCUGAGAGGGUGACCGGCCACAUUGGGACUGAGAUACGGCCCAGACUCCUACGGGAGGCAGCAGUGGGGAAUAUUGCACACUGGGUGGAAGCCUGAUGCAGCAACGCCGUGUGCGGGAUGACGGCCUUCGGGUUGUAAACCGCUUUCGCUCAUGACGAAGCUUUGUGUGACGGUAGUGGGUAAAGAAGCACCGGCUAACUACGUG